CUUUCCCCAAACCACACUUUUAGUUGGUAUAUAUCACUAAGGCAACGGCACACCUUGUGGUUGUUGUCAAUUUCCCCCCCUUAGCUAGCCAGAACCAUUUAAGAGCUAUCAUGUAGUUUAAUACUUAUAAUAUUUAGCUUUACAACAACAACGAAAAGGUCAAAAUGUCGGAUAUAUUAUGCAGGUGGCUUAACGUAGAGCUCCGGCUAUCAAAAACUGUUGACCCCAGGUCCAUCUCUAAGGAUUUUGCAAAUGGCUAUCUUAUUGGAGAGGUCCUGCAUAAAUAUCAACUGCAGGGGGAUUUUGACCUGUUCUUAAAGAGCAACACUGCAAACUCAAAGCUGAAUAACUUCACACUCAUGGAACCCACAUUACAACUGCUCGGAGUUUCCUUGGACCUGAGCAUGGCCCAAGCAGUGAUGCGGGAGCAGCACGGUGCUGCCACACGGCUGCUUUAUCAGCUCUUCAUACUGCUGCAGAAGAAGAGGAGAGCCGGCCUGACAGGCACAGCUAUGGAGGCUAUGCAGCCAGCUGCCACAGCUUUUCUCCACCGUGUUGAGAAUGACAUCUACUCUGAGCGCCUGAGGACAGUCGUCAAGAGAGAGGCUGAUCUGAAACUCCAAAAAAUCGCUCUGAAGUACGAAAUCAAAGGUCGAGAGAUAUAUGACAAGUCUGUCAUGGCCCACUUUGUGGAGGAGCAGAGACGGCAGAAAGUGCAGGAAGAGAUGAGACUCCAGGACAUUGAAAAGCACCGACACGCACGCAGAAAGCAGCAUGAGAUGAUGACUCGAAUUCAGAGCGCCGUCAUCCAACUUCCCAAACCCCCGCCCAACCGGACAUUGAAGGCCCUGGAAAAACAACAACAGAACCGGAAGAAGCAGGAGGCUCAGAAGGUUCACAUGGAAAUCGCCCAGUUUGAGAAGAACAGGAAGAAGUUGUCACCUGCUGGCGGCUUUGGCACCUCUUCUUUGAGUGCCCAGCACAUGUCCGCUUUCCACAGUGAGGCCCCCAGAAGCCAUGGCUACCAGUUGCAGAGGCCUGAGGAGCUGGCUCAGGCCAACAGCGAGUACAUCCAGAAAAUCCGCCAGAGGCUGGAGGAGGAUGCAACAGCUCGUCAGCAGAGGGAGAAACGCCGCCGUCACGUCUUAGUGGAACAACUGAAAGCCCACGAGGCCCAAGAGGAGGCCCUUCGAGAGGAGCAGCUGGUGGAGCGUCUGACCCGUCAGUCCCAGCUGGAGAGACGCCUGGCCGUCCAGCUCAUGCAGCUCCGCCAGCAGAAGGACGUUCUCCGACAGAACCGAGUGUUCCGCGAGAGACAGUACCAAGAGCAACGGCUGAGGGAUUUUCAAGAGGCCUUGGAGAGGGAGGCGGCUCUAGCACGCCAGGCCAGUUUGGAUCACGCCGAGGAAACUCGGAAGGAGAUUGAGGUACAUGACAGGAUAGCGACGGAGCGCGCCCAGGCUCGCUACAGGAAGCACUCCGACAGCUGCAGAGAAAUACUGGAGCAGAUAGUGGACCUGGCCACGAAAGCUGGAGAGUACCGCCUUCUCACUGGAAAUCUUAUCCCUGGGAAGUUGAUGCGGGAAUGGAAGGAGCUCAUGUUUUGCGGGAAGCCCCUGUAUGACAGUGGCAGUCUGGAGGAGCUACCUGCUGACCCCACCCCAGAGCAGUUCAUUGAGGUUGAGAAACAGGAGAUCCUUAACAACCAGGACUAUGAUGAGUAUAUGAGCAUGACUGGUGAGUGGACCUGGCCAGAGGAGGGGGAGACAAAGCCCCCCCCAUCCAACAACAAUAUCCUGGGACAUGUGGUGCUCCGCCUGCAGACUAUUGUGAACCCCCCCAAACCAGACACCCUUCCUCCCUUCUUUCCUCGGUUCACACUGAAAGCCUGUGUGCUAGGGAAGCUUUUCUCUGGGAAGACCACAUGCUUAACCAGGAUUGCCAAAGUCCAUCACAUCCACAUCCUGUCAGCUAAUGUUCUGAUCCAGGAGGCCCUGGCUGCACAUCAGCUUGGAAAGCUUGGACGUGAGAGCCCAGAGAGCUGUGAAACAUUGGCCACUAAAGACAUCGACCAGGUGGAGAUGGAUACCGAGAUGGAGGAGGAGUCGUCACAGGGUUCAGGCCCACUCGCUCAGGAGCCUCAGCAGCAAGGAGCCAAGAAAAAACCCAAGGCAAGUACACUCUCUGUGAGGGCCCAGCAUGGAGCAGCAGUGGAAAAGUUUCUCAGAAAAGGGAGAUCCGUCCCAGAUGAGCUCCUUGUGGACAUUGCAGUCGAAGCUAUCAGGGCAAUCCCAGCAGACUCCGGCUGGAUUCUGGACGGCUUCCCGGUCGAUCUGACCCAGGCCAAGCUUCUGGAGAAGGCCCUGGGGGGCUCGGACACUGGGAAGGAGAGGAAGAGAAGGAUCAAGCGGUCCAACCUGUCUGUGGAUAGCAACGCGCCUAAGGAGCCCCCUCCUCCCUCUCCUGUGCUGGACCUAGCUCUGCUGCUUGACGUGUCUGAUGACCACGUUUUGGACAGGGCGGCCAAGCAGGCCUAUGAGGAGGAGAGCUCUGGCCCGGCUGGGGCUGGUGAGGAGAGCUGUGCCCCUGCAAGAGAGCACAAUGUUGUCAUCGCCAGGGACAAGAGCCUGGAGAAGAGACAGAUCCAGCACAGGAUCACAGCCUUCCAGGAUACCUGGCCCAAGCUGGAGAAGUGGUUCUCUGGUAAACAGAGCAUUCUGAUGAGACUGAAUGCUGAGAUGUCGGAGGACAUGCUCUUUAGAAAAGUGGAAUCCAUCCUGUACCAGGCCAUGAUGCAGUCAGAAAAAGGUGAGGGAGUUGUUUUGGACAGUGGGAAGGCACCAGCGGUCUCAACUGCUCUCGUCCAGGUAACUCCGGUUGCGGUCCCAGCUCCCACUGAGUCCACCUCCACCCUCACCCAGGAGGGCCUGACUCCACCUGUGAAAUGCUCCAGCUCCAAGUCCAACUCUCGCUCCCCCAAAGAUUCACAGAGCAACAUCGAGAAGAACACAUCCGAAGGGAAAGAUGUCCAUCUUAAGCUGUCCAAGUCAGGAUCAGGAGGAGCCGUGGGGCAUUCUAGAACGUUGUCCAUAGCCUCCUCCUUUGAGAAUUCCCAUGGUGUGAACACCAGCCCUACAGAGCCCCUUGCUCCCACCCCAGGUACUACACACUGGGUGUAUGUGGACGAGCCCCUUCCCAAGGAGAUACCAGAGUACCUGGUUCCAUACUGGGAGAAUGUGUGUAACUCCUAUGUGACUAACGUCAAGGCUGUGAUGCAGAACCUCCGCACAGAACGCAUCUUGAUCAUUCACCAUCUGUUUAACAUCAGAGAGGAGUUUAAGCAGUACCUCCGACGGCCUGACCUGAAGCAAGAGUUUGUGUCCCAGUGGCAGCAGAACUAUAACAGCAUCCCCAAGGACAUGAGAGAUGACGAGGAGACCAAGGCAGAGCUGCACCAGCGUCUGGAUGACCUGCGCGAGCGUCUGUGGGACAUCUGUGAUAAGCGUAAGGAAGAAGCGGGGCAGGAGCGGGCGGCGAUCAUGUGCGACGGCUGGCUGGAAGACCACACGGCGGUGCUCAUCAACCAUUUCUCCACACUAAUGCAGGUGGAAGUGGACCGAUUCCAGGACUCUCUACGUCUCCUGCGGGAUUACUACACAGGCAUGUACAAACAGGUUCUGUCUGAGGCGGGGCCAGAAUUCACCUGUAUUCCACUGCUAGACAUCGUGGCGCUGGAGGAGCCAGGAACCCAGACUGACAAAUCCAAGAGUUCUGAAAGAGUCACCAAGAGUGCUGGUAAAAGAGACUGUGAAGGAGACGAGAAGAAGAAAACCAAAGUUGUUCCACUGAUUCCCCGCAGACCUCCCUCUACCGAAGUGGCCUCUAUGAAACAGAAGGGCUUCCAGGACCCCGACGAGAAGUUGCUGCAUGACAUCUAUCAGACUGCUCUGACAGCCAUCAACAACAUGGUGUCAGUGGAGGCGGCUCAACGCGAGGCAGAGGAGAAUGAGGAGGCUCAGCAGCAGAUGGAUAGAGAACGACUACAGAGAAUGUCCCAAGCCUCCGCCUCCGCUGCAGCCGCCGCAGCCAACUCUGGCAAGGACAAGAAGAAAGCUGGCACCAAGAAGAAAGGCCCUCCCUCCCCUGCUCAGGAGCCCAGCCCACCCCCUGCCCCAGAGGAAGAUUCAGAGGAGGUCUGCAAGAGGGCCAUACGGAACAAAAUCAGACAGGAGUAUGCUGCAGCCCUCGACCAUGAAGACAGUGCAGUGAAGGUGCGUGUGGAGCUGGUCAAGGCCUGUGCUCUGUGCAUGGUGAGGGUCCUGCACAGACAGGCAGAGCAGGCCUUCAGGACCAUGGAGGAGUGGCUGGGAGCCCGCUUCCUAUCUGAGAUGAACAGCAUUGACCAGCUGGCUGAGGUGGUGCGUCACCACAUCGAGUCGGCCGCCAAGCUCCAGAGUGAGCUGAUGCUGGUAUGCACAGACUUCUUCCUGAACGGGGACAUGCGGGUUGUUGUCAGUCCCCCUAACCCUCCCCGCCCCGCCCCUUUGGAGCUUCCCACAGACAGCACUCUCACCAUCCUUCAGUUGGAGGCCUUCUACCGCCAGCUACGCAAGGUGGCGCCCACAGGUGUGCAGUGCAGUACUGACUUCUGGGAGAUCCUGCAGGAGAUCACCUCUCUGAACUUGGGGACCAACGCACUGCCAGACCCCUGGAUGCACAUCUCAGAGUCUCAGCUGGUGGAGCUGGUGUCAAUGCUAACCCAGAACACAGAGAUGCUGGACUGGCGUCAGUUCCUGCUGAGUGCCGCCCUCCCCUGGCCCACCCCUACUCUGCCUCAGCUGCUGCAAGUGUUGGCCCGCUUCAAGAUGGAGGACACUGGGGCCACAGGGUCUUUGACUGAGGAGCAGUACUUAAAGGUUGAGUUGUGGUUCCCCAGUGAGCGGGCACUGCCCAUUCCCGAAGACCUGUCUGAGCCACUUCCUUACGAUCGCUUGGCUAAUCUACGGAAGUUUUUCUUCCUGCUUUUCGCCGACCCCGAUUGCUCGCCAGCUCGUGUCGACUACGUGACCAUGCUGCUGUACUUCGCCGCCCACCCUGACCCUACGCAGGGCUUUGUCCGAGCUCUCAGUGUCGUCAUGGGACAGCCGCUUCGACAUCAGUCUAGCAGUAGACUUCUCAAGGUUGGCUUCGUCACUCUGCAUCCAAGGCUGCAUGUGAAUCAGCAUCCUAUUCCCUUAUAUAGUGUCCCGACUCUAGUCAAAAGGAGUGUACUAUAUAGUGUCCCGACUCUAGUCAAAAGGAGUGUACUAUAUAGUGUCCCGACUCUAGUCAACAGGAGUGUACUAUAUAGUGUCCAGACUCUAGUCAACAGGAGUGUACUAUAUAGUGUCCCGACUCUAGUCAAAAGGAGUGUACUAUAUAGUGUCCCGACUCUAGCCAAAAGGAGUGUACUAUAUAGUGUCCCGACUCUAGUCAAAAGGAGUGUACUAUAUAGUGUCCAGACUCUAGUCAAAAGGAGUGUACUAUAUAGUGUCCCGACUCUAGUCAAAAGGAGUGUACUAUAUAGUGUCCCAACUCUAGUCAACAGGAGUGUACUAUAUAGUGUCCCGACUCUAGUCAAAAGGAGUGUACUAUAUAGUGUCCUGACUCUAGCCAAAAGGAGUGUACUAUAUAGUGUCCCGACUCUAGUCAAAAGGAGUGUACUAUAUAGUGUCCCGACUCUAGUCAAAAGGAGUGUACUAUAUAGUGUCCCGACUCUAGUAAAAAGGAGUGUACUAUAGUGUCCCGACUCUAGCCAAAAGGAGUGUACUAUAUAGUGUUCCGACUCUAGCCAAAAGGAGUGUACUAUGUAGGGGAAUAUGGUACCGUUUUGUCCUUAACUACACCUCAUAGUCCCUAUUAGAUGUAUCAUGUGCAUAUGUUUCAAGUCCAGUGUAUGUUGAUAACUAAGUAGCAGUAGUAGUAGUAAUAGCAGUAGCACUAAUAGUCGUAGUAGCAGUAAUAGUAUCAAUAUCAGUAGUAGCAAUAGCAGUAGUAGUAGCAGCAGUAGUAGUUGUUGUAGUAGUGUCAGUAGUAGUUGUAGCAGUAGUACCAUUAGUAGUAGUAGCUUGGCCUUGGUGGGAUAGCUCAGAGCAUCUGCUAAUUUCUAUCCAUUGUUUGAUGACUAACUGUGAAUUUGUAGUCGGUGCCUUACAUGGAGGAGGGGCUGAGUGAGUCGACCGAGCUAGAGGAGGAGGUGGAGCCUCAGGGGGGGCCAAGAGGGGAAGAGGGGGUGUCCAUCCCUGCCCUCCUCCGAGCUAUCUGUCACGGGGGAGCCUGGGGGGCAUGCCAGAACCGCUUUCAUCCCAACUGGAAGAGUCCUGAUGAAUAUAAGGAGGACUUUGUGAAGGUCUACAGAGAACUGGGGUACAAGGUUGAGGACAAGAUUCCAUUCUCCAUCCUAUCCCAGCAUCCGGUCAUACAAGAUCUGAUCGAGGGUUCUGCUCAAUACCAACUCAUU